rnacentral:rRNA from 1 species
UUUUGCAUAUCCCCAAAAGCGGAGGAAAAGAAACCAACAGGGAUUGCCUCAGUAACGGCGAGUGAAGCGGCAACAGCUCAAAUUUGAAAUCUGGCCUCUUUGGGGUCCGAGUUGUAAUUUGUAGAGGAUGUUUCGGGCACCGCUCCGGUUUAAAUUUCUUGGAACAGAAUGUCAAAGAGGGUGAGAACCCCGUCUUGGACCGGCAGUAGGGCCCAUGUGAAACUCCUUCGACGAGUCGAGUUGUUUGGGAAUGCAGCUCAAAAUGGGUGGUAAAUUUCAUCUAAAGCUAAAUAUUGGCCAGAGACCGAUAGCGCACAAGUAGAGUGAUCGAAAGAUGAAAAGCACUUUGAAAAGAGAGUUAAACAGUACGUGAAAUUGUUGAAAGGGAAGCGCUUGCAACCAGACUUGCGCGCGGCGGUUCCCCCUUCCUUUUGGUUGGGUUAUUCCGCCGUGUCCAGGCCAACAUCGGUUCUGGGGGUCGGUUAAAGGCCUGGGGAAUGUAUCUACCCUUCGGGCGUAGACUUAUAGCCCCGGGUGUCAUGCGACCUCCCGGGACCGAGGAACGCGCUUCGGCUCGGAUGUUGGCGUAAUGGUUGUCAGCGACCCGUCUUGACCCCCCGGACCAAAAA